GAUGAACGCUGGCGGCGUGCCUAAUACAUGCAAGUCGAGCGAACGGACGAGAAGCUUGCUUCUCUGAUGUUAGCGGCGGACGGGUGAGUAACACGUGGAUAACCUACCUAUAAGACUGGGAUAACUUCGGGAAACCGGAGCUAAUACCGGAUAAUAUUUUGAACCGCUUGGUUCAAAAGUGAAAGACGGUCUUGCUGUCACUUAUCGAUGGAUCCGCGCUGCAUUAGCUAGUUGGUAAGGUAACGGCUUACCAAGGCAACGAUGCAUAGCCGACCUGAGAGGGUGAUCGGCCACACUGGAACUGAGACACGGUCCAGACUCCUACGGGAGGCAGCAGUAGGGAAUCUUCCGCAAUGGGCGAAAGCCUGACGGAGCAACGCCGCGUGAGUGAUGAAGGUCUUCGGAUCGUAAAACUCUGUUAUUAGGGAAGAACAUAUGUGUAAGUAACUGUGCACAUCUUGACGGUACCUAAUCAGAAAGCCACGGCUAACUACGUG
rnacentral:rRNA from 1 species